rnacentral:rRNA from 1 species
AUACGUAGGGGGCGAGCGUUGUCCGGAAUGAUUGGGCGUAAAGGGCGCGUAGGCGGCGCGGUAAGUCUGGAGUGAAAGUCCUGCUUUCAAGGUGGGAAUUGCUUUGGAUACUGCCGCGCUUGAGUGCAGGAGAGGUUAUCGGAAUUCCCGGUGUAGCGGUGAAAUGCGUAGAGAUCGGGAGGAACACCAGUGGCGAAGGCGGGUAACUGGACUGCAACUGACGCUGAGGCGCGAAAGUGUGGGGAGCAAACAGGAUUAGAUACCCUGGUAGUCCACACUGUAAACGAUGAAUGCUAGGUGUAAGAGGUAUCGACCCCUUUUGUGCCGGAGUCAACACAAUAAGCAUUCCGCCUGGGAAGUACGGCCGCAAGGUUGAAACUCAAAGGAAUUGACGGGG